rnacentral:rRNA from 1 species
CCCGCUGAACUUAAGCAUAUCAAUAAGCGGAGGAAAAGAAACUAACAAGGAUUCCCCUAGUAACGGCGAGUGAAGCGGGAUGAGCUCAAAUUUAAAAUCUGAUAGUCUUUGGCUGUCCGAGUUGUAAUCUAGAGAAGUGUUUUCCGCGUUGGACCAUGUACAAGUUUCCUGGAACGGAACGUCAUAGAGGGUGAGAAUCCCGUCCUUGACAUGGACUACCAGUGCUUUGUGAUACACUCUCAACGAGUCGAGUUGUUUGGGAUUGCAGCUCAAAAUGGGAGGUAAAUUCCUUCUAAAGCUAAAUAUUGGCGAGAGACCGAUAGCGAACAAGUACCGUGAGGGAAAGAUGAAAAGCACUUUGGAAAGAGAGUUAAACAGUACGUGAAAUUGUUAAAAGGGAAACGAUUGAAGUCAGUCGCGUUUGCUUGGACUCAGCCUUACCUCGGUUUGGUGCAUUUCCUUGUGAACGGGCCAGCGUCAAUGUUGUUCGUUGGAAAAGGGUUAGAGAAAUGUGGCUCUUUCGGGAGUGUUAUAGUCUCUGAUCGUAUACAACGGCUGAUAUUGAGUGGUACAGCAUGCUUCGGCGGUGCUUGUGCUGGCAUAAUGGCUUUAAACGACCCGUCUUGAAACACGG